UACAGAGGGGGCAAGCGUUGUUCGGAAUUACUGGGCGUAAAGGGCGCGUAGGCGGCCUUCUAAGUCGAACGUGAAAUCCCCGGGCUCAACCCGGGAACUGCGUCCGAUACUGGAAGGCUUGAAUCCGGGAGAGGGAUGCGGAAUUCCAGGUGUAGCGGUGAAAUGCGUAGAGAUCGGGAGGAAGGCCGGUGGCGAAGGCGGCGCUCUGGAACAUUUCUGACGCUGAGGCUCGAAAGCGUGGGGAGCAAACAGG
rnacentral:rRNA from 1 species